rnacentral:rRNA from 1 species
UACGAAGGGGGCUAGCGUUGCUCGGAAUUACUGGGCGUAAAGGGCGCGUAGGCGGACAGUUUAGUCAGAGGUGAAAGCCCCAGGGCUCAACCUUGGAAUUGCCUUUGAUACUGGCUGUCUUGAGUUCGGGAGAGGUGAGUGGAAUGCCGAGUGUAGAGGUGAAAUUCGUAGAUAUUCGGCGGAACACCAGUGGCGAAGGCGACUCACUGGCCCGAUACUGACGCUGAGGCGCGAAAGCGUGGGGAGCAAACAGGG